rnacentral:rRNA from 1 species
AUUGAACGCUGGCGGCAUGCCUUACACAUGCAAGUCGAACGGUAACAGAUCUUCGGAUGCUGACGAGUGGCGAACGGGUGAGUAAUGCAUCGGAACGUGCCCAGUUGUGGGGGAUAACUGCUCGAAAGAGCAGCUAAUACCGCAUACGACCUGAGAGUGAAAGCGGGGGAUCGCAAGACCUCGCGCAAUUGGAGCGGCCGAUGUCAGAUUAGGUAGUUGGUGGGGUAAAGGCCUACCAAGCCGACGAUCUGUAGUUGGUCUGAGAGGACGACCAGCCACACUGGGACUGAGACACGGCCCAGACUCCUACGGGAGGCAGCAGUGGGGAAUUUUGGACAAUGGGCGCAAGCCUGAUCCAGCAAUGCCGCGUGCAGGAAGAAGGCCUUCGGGUUGUAAACUGCUUUUGUCAGGGAAGAAAUCCUCUGGGUUAAUACCCCGGGGGGAUGACGGUACCUGAAGAAUAAGCACCGGCUAACUACGUGCCAGCCGCCGCCGUAACAC